GACGAACGCUGGCGGCGUGCUUAACACAUGCAAGUCGAACGGAAAGGCCCUGCUUUUGUGGGGUGCUCGAGUGGCGAACGGGUGAGUAACACGUGAGUAACCUGUCCUUGACUUUGGGAUAACUUCAGGAAACUGGGGCUAAUACCGGAUAGGAGCUACUGCUGCAUGGUGGGGGUUGGAAAGUUUCGGCGGUUGGGGAUGGACUCGCGGCUUAUCAGCUUGUUGGUGGGGUAGUGGCUUACCAAGGCUUUGACGGGUAGCCGGCCUGGGAGGGUGACCGGCCACAUUGGGACUGAGAUGCGGCCCAGACUCCUACGGGAGGCAGCAGUGGGGAAUAUUGCACAAUGGGCGGAAGCCUGAUGCAGCAACGCCGCGUGCGGGAUGACGGCCUUCGGGUUGUAAUCCGCUUUCGCCUGUGACGAAGCGUGAGUGACGGUAAUGGGUAAAGAAGCACCGGCUAACUACGUG
rnacentral:rRNA from 1 species